rnacentral:lncRNA from 1 species
CAUUUUUACCCUAAACUCCCAAACUUUUUUACUUUUCCCUAAAAACUUUUACUCCUUCCCACUUUCCCCCCAAAACUUUUAUUUCCCUCCCCUCCCAACCCCCCAAUCUAUCCAAAAUUCAUUUCCUACCAAAAUUUUACUCUUUCAUUUACUUUUUCUCAAAAUUUUACUCCCAAAAACCUUCAAAACCUUUUAUUUUUCCCCCAAAUUUUUACUCCCUCCCACUUUUCCCCUAAAACUUUUAUUCUCUUCCCAUCCCACCUCCCAUCUACCCCAAACCCUCCCCCCUCCAAUUUUUUUUAAUAUUUUCCCUCCAAAAUUU